rnacentral:rRNA from 1 species
AGCAGCCGCGGUAAUUCCAGCUCCAAUAGCGUAUAUUAAAGUUGUUGCAGUUAAAAAGCUCGUAGUUGAAUUUCGGGAUCAAUUAAUUGGUCGUGCCUCUGGUACGUACUGAUUUUAUUGGUUUCUCCCUUCUGACGAACCAUGAUGUCAUUAAUUUGGUGUCGUGGAGAAUCAGGACUGUUACUUUGAAAAAAUUAGAGUGUUUAAAGCAAGCUAACGCUUGAAUACAUUAGCAUGGAAUAAUGGAAUAGGACGUUUGAUCCUAUUUUGUUGGUUUCUAGGAUCGACGUAAUGAUUAAUAGGGAUAGUUGGGGGCAUUAGUAUUCAAUUGUCAGAGGUGAAAUUCUUGGAUUUAUUGAAGACUAACUACUGCGAAAGCAUUUGCCAAGGAUGUUUUCAUUAAUCAAGAACGAAAGUUAGGGGGAUCGAAGACGAUCAGAUACCGUCGUAGUCUUAACCAUAAACUAUGCCGACUAGGGAUCGGAUGAUGUUAAUUUUUAAUGACUCAUUCGGCGCCUUA